UUAUAAAUUAAGAGCUGGUUUAGGGUACAGCAGAAGCGAUCGGAACAGUGGGGGAAACUCAUCAUUUUCGUCGUUUUCAAAUUAGGGGUUUGCUCUCUCUCAAUCUCUCUCUAUCUCUCGAUUUGACCGAAAGUUGAGAUGGUAUGACCGAAAGCGGAGGUGUUGGGGAGUGGUGAAAGGCGUGCAAGAGUUCUUGGCUGGGAUGCGUGAUGUUGGGUUUAUACACUGUGUGUGUUACGGCGGGAAGCUGGUUUUGCUGUGUUGUAAAGGAGGUAUGAGUAGGGAGGUAAGAGUAAGUACGGAGGUUUUUUUUGCUGAGAUUUCUCUGGAAAGACGCAAAGGAGGUCAGAUGUGGGGUGAAGUUGAUCACUCGUGUGAUCUUGGUUUGACUGUUCCUGGUGGUAAAUUUAGAAUUGAGAAACCUCUUGUUGUUGUAAUUUGAUUUUGGGAACACUCCUUUCUUCAUUUAAGCUUGUUGCUUGUUGUUUGCGGUUUAAGAUGUGUAGACUGAAAUAAUUUCUAUCAGGGAAAUAUGUUUUCAUGUUUAACUGAAUCUACAAGAGGUCUGAUAAAUUACAAGUGUUACAGCUGCGAAGUUUGAUCUUCUUGUUCAAUGGUGUUGAUAAUGUUCACAUUAUGAAAGCUCUUGCUGUUGUGGUUUGAUUCAGGAAUACUCUCUUUCCUUCUUUUAAACUUGUUCUGAUUUGGGGUUUGAAGUGAGGGCAUUUGUUUGAGAGUUGUUGAGAGUCUAUCUUGAAUUGAGAUGUUUGUCUGUUGUGUGGCAGUGGAAGACAACUCUUUACGCAGAGAAGAUGUGGAGUCAAAAAAAAAAAACACUGGUCCAGCCCACCAGCCGGUUCCGUUUGGUAUCUUCUGGACCGCCCGGUCCAAGUCGAGGGUAAUCUGUAUGUGUUGGGUGAAGGUUUGACACAGGCGGUUCCUAAAGACGGGAGUGCAAUGCGUUAGGCUGGUUUCACAGAGCAGCGAUCACUCGAUUCACAUGGCUUGUUGGCUUGCAUACUUAGCUGAACCACCAUCUUUUGUUUUUAAUAUACUUUUUUUCCUUUCUUGUCAAUUUCCAACAAUGUUCUCUCCCGGCAGUAGACGUGGCCUGGUGGCUCGUACCCAGCUGAACCAUCAUUUUUCUUUCUAAUAUACUCUUUCCUUU